rnacentral:rRNA from 1 species
UGGGGAAUAUUGGACAAUGGGGGCAACCCUGAUCCAGCCAUGCCGCGUGUGUGAAGAAGGCCUUUUGGUUGUAAAGCACUUUAAGCAGGGAGGAGAGGCUAAUGGUUAAUACCCAUUAGAUUAGACGUUACCUGCAGAAUAAGCACCGGCUAACUCUGUGCCAGCAGCCGCGGUAAUACAGAGGGUGCGGGCGUUAAUCGGAAUUACUGGGCGUAAAGCGAGUGUAGGUGGCUCAUUAAGUCACAUGUGAAAUCCCCGGGCUUAACCUGGGAACUGCAUGUGAUACUGGUGGUGCUAGAAUAUGUGAGAGGGAAGUAGAAUUCCCAGGUGUAGCGGUGAAAUGCGUAGAGAUCUGGAGGAAUACCGAUGGCGAAGGCAGCUUCCUGGCAUAAUAUUGACACUGAGAUUCGAAAGCGUGGGUAGCAAACAGGAUUAGAUACCCUGGUAGUCCACGCCGUAAACGAUGUCUACUAGCCGUUGGGGUCCUUGAGACUUUAGUGGCGCAGUUAACGCGAUAAGUAGACCGCCU